UCAGGACGAACGCUGGCGGCGUGCUUAACACAUGCAAGUCGAGCGAUGAAGCUCUUCGGAAGUGGAUUAGCGGCGGACGGGUGAGUAACACGUGGGUAACCUGCCUCAUAGAGGGGAAUAGCCUUCCGAAAGGAAGAUUAAUACCGCAUAAGAUUGUAAUAUCGCAUGAUAUAGCAAUUAAAGGAGUAAUCCGCUAUGAGAUGGACCCGCGUCGCAUUAGCUAGUUGGUGAGGUAACGGCUCACCAAGGCGACGAUGCGUAGCCGACCUGAGAGGGUGAUCGGCCACAUUGGGACUGAGACACGGCCCAGACUCCUACGGGAGGCAGCAGUGGGGAAUAUUGCACAAUGGGGGAAACCCUGAUGCAGCCAACGCCGCGUGAGUGAUGACGGCCUUCGGGUUGUAAAGCUCUGUCUUCAGGGACGAUAAUGACGGUACCUGAGGAGGAAGCCACGGCUAACUACGUGCCAGCAGCUGC
rnacentral:rRNA from 1 species